ACCAAAAGAUCUCUUUCUUUUCCCUUUACCUAUGUUUAUAUAUAUUGGAUACAUGUUAUAAGAAUAUGUUAGUGUGUUUUGGUGAUGAUUUAAGGUGGUUUUGGUGAUAAGAGAAGGAAGACAAAGAGGAGAGAGCCAACCUAGCAAAUAUUAGCUUAAAACAAGGUACAGGUGAUCGAGGUAGUUGCGAGGCAGGGUCAGGUCAGCAAAGAUAAAUCCAAUUGGAGCAGGUUAUCUCUGGUUUAUGUUACAUGCAUACAAUUAUAUGUUACUGUUGAAUUUUGACCUUCUUAAGAUGGUUGUACAAUUGUAUAUGAUUACUUCAUGUUUUCAAAUGCUUUCCGAUAAGUUUUUAUAUGCGAUAUAUAUAUCUUUUAUUA